GAGGCUUGAGCGUCCAGAAUCCACAUUUUUCGCCCGAGCGAGGACCUUGGCCGCUUGGGCGACGGGGUCUCGUGCUUGGGUGACCACACUCAUAGCCCGGGCCAUACAUGAGGUGCCCUUCUCGCCCGGGUGACCUCCUUGGACGCUGAGCGUCGACUUUCGUGGACCGGACCCUGUUUCUGCUCUGUUUUGAUUCUUUUGGACCGGACCCUAUUUUGGCACGCCUCUAACACUAUUUAAAGGACCCUGGGGCUCUAGGUUUUGUAUCCCUAGUAGAGAAGAGCAUAGCAAUACACUCUUUUCCCAAUUCUUAGGCUUUCAUUCUCAUUCUUUCUUCCAUUGUUCAUAGAGUUCCCUCGUGUCUAUGGGGAACUAAUUUCUAUUUGUUGUUGGGGAAUGAUGUAACCUUGUAAACUCUUAUGUAUUUGAAUUG
rnacentral:lncRNA from 1 species